UACGGGGGGGGCACGCGUUGUUCGGAAUUACUGGGCGUAAAGGGCUCGUAGGCGGCCAACUAAGUCGGAUGUGAAAUCCCCAGGCUUAACCUGGGAACUGCAUCCGAUACUGGAUGGCUUGAAUCCGGGAGAGGGAUGCAGAAUUCCAGGUGUAGCGGUGAAAUGCGUAGAUAUCUGGAGGAAUACCGGUGGCGAAGGCGGCAUCCUGGACCGGCAUUGACGCUGAGGAGCGAAAGCUAGGGGAGCAAACGGG
rnacentral:rRNA from 1 species